rnacentral:tRNA from 1 species
AACGUUAUGCCGGAAAACGGGAUAUCUUGAUGUGGUAUAAAAUGUGGGUGAAAGCCCCUCUAACGUUA